CCUCCUUCUCAUUUUUCCUCUUCCUCUUGCUCUUUUCCACUUUUCCUUCUGUUUCUGCUUACCCUUAAAAACAUAAAAAUGGUUUUUGGCUUGUAUGCUAUAAAUAGUCUACUCUCUGGUUUUGACCACAGGCAGUACUUUGAGAACCCCUGGUAUAGAUUGCUUUGAGGGGGGUGGAUAUCAAUUAUGUUUUACAAGGGUCAAUUUCACUGCCGUCAUGCUAAUAGAGUGUAGAGGACAAAGAUGGAAGCAGGAAGACAGUCAACUCGUUACGACACUCAUCUAGCCACAGACGAUGAUGGCAUGGACUCGGGUGGUUCCCUGGAUGAGUCCUAGAGACACUGCAGUUUGCCUGAGGACAAGAUUCCACUCUGGAGGUCCAGCAGUACCAAGUCUUGGGCCAGAGAAGAAGAUGCCUUAAACUCAAAGUAAACGAGACACCAUGAAGUGAUGUUUGGGGUCCCGCAGAGGGUUUUGUUUUUGUUCAGAGAAGAAGAGAGCUUUAAAGAGGUCUGCUCCCACCAUUACAACAAGAAAAACAGCUGGGCAAACUGCAAUUCAAAGACUAUUCUUGACCCAUCAGAGAGCUUAAAUCACAGAGCAAAAACCUAACAUGAAAUCUGGAAAGAAACAGGAGCCUACAUGGAGAAACAGAACCUCAGCAUUUGCCUAUUUGGGGCAAGUGCUUGUCUGUGGUCAUUUAGGCCAAAAAAAGAUUCAGCUAGAAACUUUUAACAAAUUGCUAAAGGCUAGCAUGUAAGUGCGACUUCCCUGGGGGCACAGACACAGGGGGCUCCCUAUUCCUUUUCAGACUUUUCCUCCGGGAAUCACAUGAAGUUCUCAUAGGGAAGACCCAAGAGAAUAUUGAGAAAACUCACCCUGUAGUACUAGCUGGAGGAGGAGACCAGCUGCUCCUAUCAAAAUCCAUCCAGACUCAUCUCCAUCUCUCUCAAAGAAUGAAAGCCUUAAUUUGAGGGGGAAGAAUAACAAAAACUGUCACCGGAUGGAGCUGGGGGAAACUACCUCCAACUUGGGGAGAGAAAGAGGAAAAAAACCAUUUUUUAAUAAGUUCUACACCUGGAGGAAGGCCAGGAAUACGUGGUGAUCACAUCUCCAGGAAGGGCGGAAACAUUUGUGAGCACCACGCCUCUGAGACCCAGGUGUACAGGGCCUGGCUAGGGCUGAGGCUUAAUCAAAUACUACCCCCUUCUAAAGCCCCUUACCCAGCCACCUUUACCACCACACUAACAAGCACUGAGUAACAACAGCAAUAACAUCUGGGAGAGCUGGAAGAGACUUAAUUCUCUCUGGGUAGCAGUUCAAAGAGAAGACUCAUCAUCAAGUGAGCAGACCCACAGCCAGGUAAGGAACAGACAUUGAGGAAAAUCCUCUGGCUAAUUAGUCCACACCCUAAGCAUAAGAUAUCACCUGGGAAAUGUGAAGCCUGUGUUGAGCUGAGGCUAACUAUAGCAACAACCAUCUUCAACCAAGCUCAACUCCCAACUAGACUGAUGAAAACUCCCACAGUUAAGGUCUUGCAGAAAGAAAGGCACGUCUAUCUCUAAGACUAAAAAUUAUUUACUUCAGCAUCUACUGUUGUAUACAAUGUAUUAGGUAUUCAACAAAAAAAAUUAAAAAGAAUACAAAAAAAGGCAAUUAAAAACACAGAAGAGCCAAAAUAAUCAUCUGAAAAGAUUUAUGAUUUAUGGAAGUAUCAGACAGGUAAUUUACAAUAAUUAUGCUAAUACAUUAAAGGCUCUAAUGAAAAGGUAGGCAACAAGCAAAACUACAUAGGUAAUUUAAGCAGAUCAGAUAGAAAUUUUAGAAAAGAAUCAAAGGGAAAUAUUAGAUUUCAAAAAUAAAGUAAGAGAGAUGAAGAAAGCUUGAAACGGGAUCAUCAGAAGACUUGACUGAGCUGAGGAAGAAUCCGUGAAGAUGUAGAUAGGUCAAUAGAAAUUGCCCAAACUGAAGUGUGUGUGGGGUAUAUGUGUAUGUGCACGUAUGUGUGUGUGUGUGUGUGUGAGAGAGAGAGAGAGAGAGGGACAGAGACAGAGACAGAGAUAGGCAGAAAGAGAGAUGGAGAAAGGGAGAGAAUAGAACAUCCAAGAGCUAUGACAAUAUCAAGCACUCUAAUGUGUAACUGGGUUAUUGGCAUAUGAAUAAUUGGAACCCCAGAAGGAAAAAUGAGAAUGAAUAGGAAGAAGAUAUAUUUAAAGAAAUAAUGGUUGAGAAUUUUCCAAAUUUAGUGAUAGAUAUGAAACCACAGAUGCAGAAAGCUCAGAGACAACCAACCAGGAUAAACACUAAAAAAAUCCACAGUCAGGCAUAUUACAUUCAAAGUUGAAAACUAAGAACAAAGCGAAAAUUGUGAAGGCAG
ensembl:lncRNA